GUGAGUUGGCCGGCGUAGGUGGCGUCUCUAUCGGCUUGGUCACGACCUGUUCCCGGCUACGCAUCUCGUCCGGUGGCGCAGGCUCGGGUUUGGGACCCGGGUUGGCGCGGCGAUCAGGCGGAGUUGCCGACUUCGUUUCCGAGGUGUUCGCCAUUCGGGUUCCCGCCGCGUCUCGGUUCACCUGUAUAUUCUUUUGUUUAUCUACGGUGGGACACUGCCGAAACGUGUCGACGCGCGGCGCUGGGUCCGUGUGAGAACAAAGGCUCUGGGCCUGCGAGAACGGCACCGGAAGCUUGGCGGGCUGGGAUCAGGUGCGCUCCUGCGGAUGUCCGUGUCACUCGAUGCUGCGCAGGCACUACCCAGCAGCGUGUGUGGUAUACUAGCUGUCGGCGCCGUCUCGCCCAGUCGGUGGGAGCGAAUGCGCGGGCACCGUUGAUGGUGACUUUUCCCACCGCCUGAGAAGCCUACUGAAGGACUACCGGAGGCCAGAUAUGCUUAUUCCCCGCCAUUUCCUUUUUAUUCUUCAUUCUGCGGGGUGUCUGGUGAUGUCUCGCCGGCUGGAAUCACGUCGUCGUUUCGUUCUCGACUGUCGGCUGCCGCGUCACAUCCAGACAUGCGGUGCCCUUCUCGAGGGUGGCCAUCUCCUCACGGGCAUCUGAGAACUCUCCCACCUCCAUGCCUUCGCCCAGUCGGCCCCAUGCCACGGCUGUCGCGUUGGACAACAUGCAGACAGCACGCGGAACAUUGGCCUGGUCUCCGCCGGGCACCACGGUCCGAAGCGUGGCCGAGUAUGAAGACAAAACGUGCGGAUGAGCACUGGAGGGGAGAAAAAUAGGAAGGUGGAAUAAAACAGAAGCAAAUAAAGUCGCUCGGAAAGACA